GGUCGGGUGGCGCAAUGGUAGCGCGUUACUUUCCGGUUAACAUGGAUAAGUCCUCAAUACAACAUGAACUCUCUGUUGGUAAAGGUUCUGGGUUCGAGUCCCAGCUCGAUCG